AGAGUUUGAUCCUGGCUCAGGACGAACGCUGGCGGCGCGCCUAACACAUGCAAGUCGAACGGAGCUGAGAGGAGCUUGCUUUUCUUAGCUUAGUGGCGAACGGGUGAGUAACGCGUGAGUAACCUGCCCUGGAGUGGGGGACAACAGUUGGAAACGACUGCUAAUACCGCAUAAGCCCACGAUCCGGCAUCGGAUUGAGGGAAAAGGAUUUAUUCGCUUCAGGAUGGACUCGCGUCCAAUUAGCUAGUUGGUGAGGUAACGGCCCACCAAGGCGACGAUUGGUAGCCGGGCUGAGAGGUUGAACGGCCACAUUGGGACUGAGACACGGCCCAGACUCCUACGGGAGGCAGCAGUGGGGGAUAUUGCACAAUGGGGGAAACCCUGAUGCAGCGACGCCGCGUGGAGGAAGAAGGUUUUCGGAUUGUAAACUCCUGUCGUUAGGGACGAUAAUGACGGUACCUAACAAGAAAGCACCGGCUAACUACGUGCCAGCAGCCGCGGUAAAACGUAGGGUGCAAGCGUUGUCCGGAAUUACUGGGUGUAAAGGGAGCGCAGGCGGACCGGCAAGUUGGAAGUGAAAACUAUGGGCUCAACCCAUAAAUUGCUUUCAAAACUGCUGGCCUUGAGUAGUGCAGAGGUAGGUGGAAUUCCCGGUGUAGCGGUGGAAUGCGUAGAUAUCGGGAGGAACACCAGUGGCGAAGGCGACCUACUGGGCACCAACUGACGCUGAGGCUCGAAAGCAUGGGUAGCAAACAGGAUUAGAUACCCUGGUAGUCCAUGCCGUAAACGAUGAUUACUAGGUGUUGGAGGAUUGACCCCUUCAGUGCCGCAGUUAACACAAUAAGUAAUCCACCUGGGGAGUACGACCGCAAGGUUGAAACUCAAAGGAAUCGACGGGGACCCGCACAAGCGGUGGAGCAUGUGGUUUAAUUCGAAGCAACGCGAAGAACCUUACCAAAUCUUGACAUCCCGGUGACAAAGUAUGUAAAGUACUCUUUCUUCGGAACACCGGUGACAGGUGGUGCAUGGUUGUCGUCAGCUCGUGUCGUGAGAUGUUGGGUUAAGUCCCGCAACGAGCGCAACCCCUAUCCUUAGUAGCCAGCAGUAAGAUGGGCACUCUAGGGAGACUGCCGGGGAUAACCCGGAGGAAGGUGGGGAUGACGUCAAAUCAUCAUGCCCCUUAUGAUUUGGGCUACACACGUGCUACAAUGGCGUAAACAAAGGGAAGCGAGCCUGCGAGGGUGAGCAAAUCCCAAAAAUAACGUCUCAGUUCGGAUUGUAGUCUGCAACUCGACUACAUGAAGCUGGAAUCGCUAGUAAUCGCAGAUCAGAAUGCUGCGGUGAAUACGUUCCCGGGUCUUGUACACACCGCCCGUCACACCAUGGGAGUCGGAAAUGCCCGAAGCCGGUGACCUAACCGCGAGGAGGGAGCCGUCGAAGGCAGGUCUGAUAACUGGGGUGAAGUCGUAACAAGGUA
rnacentral:rRNA from 1 species